rfam:Triticum aestivum genome assembly, contig: Triticum_aestivum_CS42_TGACv1_scaffold_591837_7BS
AUAAUACUCCCUCCGUUCGGAACUACUUGUCGCAGAAAUGGAUGUAUCUAGACGUUUUUAGUUCUAGAUACAUCCAUUUCCGAGACAAGUAAUUCCGAACGGAGGGAAUACAUA